UGAAACGCUAACAGUGAACGCUAAUUCUGGCGGAAACAGGCUGACGAGUUUACAGGAAGAAGGAGAAGCUUCGGUGACGUUCGGAAAAGUGUUGAGCUGACGCAAGCAACUCGGGUUAGAUUGACGGAGAGAAAGAGUGGUUACGCAUUGGUUAAAAAGCGAUAGGUUCGGGAGAGUGCAGGAAUGCGUACAGAUCGUGUCAUGAUCGAGAGAGAAUUUCGGUGGAAAGAGAUAAACGACGGAGCUAGAGACGCCCGAUAAUCCACCGAAGACCAUCGUUCGACAUUCUGUUGACUAAAGUUACCGCGAUAAGACGUGUUUCGUUUCAGCUGAUGCAUAAUGGCCGAAAAGCGUCACGACACAUCUCUUACCAUGAUGUACACUGAAAAAACUGCGCACGCUUCAUCCAAGUGUUUCAUCAAAGGAUAUGAAAAUGACUCUGCAUUGUUAUUUGAAGAAUUUUUUUUAUCGAAUUCAAUCAUUUUUCACUUUCGUUUCAAGUUGUCGCACACAUUAAGUGACAUCUAUGAACCGCACAUCAUUUACGUAUGAUUCCAACAUCCCUUUCAAGUGAAUUGCACUUGAAUCUGCCCCACUGUUUCAUCACAGUGAUUAUCAUGUGCGAAACACUUUCAGUUGAUUUGUUUUGUUCUUAUAUGUUAAAUGACGAGCCGUUUGUGCUGAGAAGUAGAAAAAUGGCGACAGAUGAAGAUUCAGCGAGUGUAAUACGGCCUUGAAGUUCGUCCAUUUUUCGGACUAUACAUCUGUAAAUUUUUGCAAGACAUUCUAAUGAAAGCAUCUUUGCGCUAGAGGCUUCUUCAAUAGAGAACGAAAAUUUUAAAUUUGGUGAUGAAACGUUAUAAUUUAAAUUUUAAGUUUUACAAAUAAAAGAAAGGUUUCAUUGUAGAACUGUUUUCAUUUGAAAAUCGAAUAAAAAUCAUUAGAACUUCGGUAAA